CUGUCGGGUUCAGUGCCUACCGUUCAAAAAAGGGACAAGAAAAACCGUCCUCAGUGCGAUCUCGACGAAAGGGAAGCUACGAACCUCCACGAGUUUUGUCACCUAGACAGAUUUUUAAGGCCUCCUUCCUUGCAGAUUUUAACACGCAUGGAGCCAUCUACCAACAC